AAGUGUGGACGCCAGUCUGCAUGGAGCCAUCCUUGAAAUACCACCCUUUAAUGGCUGGUGUUCUAACGUGGGCCCGUGAACCGGGUUGCGGACAGUGUCUGGUGGGUAGUUUGACUGGGGCGGUCUCCUCCUAAAGAGUAACGGAGGAGCACGAAGGUUGGCUAAUCCUGGUCGGACAUCAGGAGGUUAGUGCAAUGGCAUAAGCCAGCUUGACUGCGAGCGUGACGGCGCGAGCAGGUGCGAAAGCAGGUCAUAGUGAUCCGGUGGUUCUGAAUGGAAGGGCCAUCGCUCAACGGAUAAAAGGUACUCCGGGGAUAACAGGCUGAUACCGCCCAAGAGUUCAUAUCGACGGCGGUGUUUGGCACCUCGAUGUCGGCUCAUCACAUCCUGGGGCUGAAGUAGGUCCCAAGGGUAUGGCUGUUCGCCAUUUAAAGUGGUACGCGAGCUGGGUUUAGAACGUCGUGAGACAGUUCGGUCCCUAUCUGCCGUGGGCGCUGGAAGAUUGAGGGGGGCUGCUCCUAGUACGAGAGGACCGGAGUGGACGCAUCACUGGUGUU
rnacentral:rRNA from 2 species